GCGGACGUGGCGGAAUUGGUAUACGCGAUAGGUUGAGGACCUAUGGGGAUUUAUCCUCGUGUGGGUUCAAGUCCCACCGUCCGCACAA
rnacentral:tRNA from 1 species